UGAGGGUUUCUACCUGCCUCCAAAACUGC
rnacentral:piRNA from 1 species